ACGAUUCAUACGGAAUAACACCUAGAAUGAUGCUGGCCUUUCUCCACCCAUUCCAUUGAUCACAAUGCAAAUCACUGUAUAUGUAAUACAUAUUGGCAACACUCCGUAUUAUUCAGAACACCAUGGAAUGACUCCAUAUAUACAUUCUACAGACACCCCUGAGUAUUUCCUAUAAUACUUUUACUGUGGCACCCAGAAUAUGUGUUGCUCUAUAGGCAAAUAGGCAUUCCAUUUGCGUUGAUUUGCAUUGGGAACAUUUAUUUGACCUUAGAACAUAUAUAUAUUUUUUUUACAAAUGUAAUGCAAAUGCAACUUAAAUAUGAACAAAUAUGAAUCAUUGUUAAUGUUUAGACAAUAGUUGUUCAUAUAUCAUGAAUAAAUACAAGUUUUUCACACUUUAUAUAAUAUUACGUGGGGGACUUUUAUUUUGAAAGUUUCUUAAAUUCCGCAACACGGAAGUACUUUUUUUUUUUUUGUGUUGCUGACGACAAGCUGGUGACUCCUAGUUACAGGGCGGCAGCUUCGAUCGCACAUGGCAGACUACAAAAGGGUUGUGUUUCAGCUCGCAAAGCGGUUCACAAAUAUAUUCAGAACACACUAUGCAGCCGGUCUGUAUACCUCAGUGUUGUGUGCAGCCUGUCCGAGUGGUGAGAUGCCUUUGGAUAUACGGCGUAAAAAACAACAUUAUUUUAUUGGGUUAGGCUGAAAGGCUGUAAAGUUGAGUAACCCACUGCUACUGUUCUAGAUGACUGUUGGGAAUAUACAAGUAGACAAGGCAGUGGUUUUGGUUGGACAGUUGGAAAAACUUGCUGAUGAGAAUGGUUGGAGGUUGGCCCUUCCGUGGUGAUUAAGGUCUGUUCCUCCAUGGUUAUAGUUAGUUAGCUCGUAGAUUUAGCAAAAGCAGAGUGGGUAGCCACUUUGUCGAUGUGCACAAGAGUAACUAACUAGGCACUUUUGCUAACCUUGCCUGGUGGGUUCUUCUAGAUUUAGCGAACUGACGUUAACUAGCUCAAUCUAGUCAAGUAGCCAACAAACAUUCAACCUUGAAACUAAAAAGUUGAUUUCCUUGCUCAAGUAUGGGGAUGUGCUUAUCGUGCCUUGGUGGACCUGGAAACGACUUGUCCACCACACCAGAUCGAGAGACAAGGAGACUUGAGCUGGCAGAGGCCGCUGAGAAGAGACAGAAAGAGUGGCAGGUAGGCUAAAGAUAGACAUGGAGAGAUCCUGGAAGUCUCAAUGUAGACUGAGGUUCAGCUAACAACAUGAAGAGUGUUGGUACCAGUUGACUUAAAGGCUUUUUUUUUUUUUUUUAAUGUCAGCCCAUUCUACUAGAUUUUUUUAUUUUUAAAUGCAAGGUUUUUUUUAUAUUUUUUUUAGAGCCGAUUGUGUGUCUGCAUCUCUCAACUUCGUAGGAUAGUUUGCCGGGCUUUGACGCUGGUUAAAAAAAUAAAAAAUAAAGAUUCUGUUGGCCAAUGUUGGCCGUGUGAAUCACAGGACAUGCCUCCCUUAAUGCCAAGAUAUACAAGAGAAUAUGCAAGCCAGCCAAUGGAGCUUUAGAACAGACAGGGUGGCGUAGCUAUGAAUAGAAUAUAAACACUCAGAGGAAAUAUGCUCUCACACUACAUCGAUAAACUGUACCAGGCGUCUUGCAGUGAACUCUCUCUCUUUGUGUUCUCUUUGUCCUCUCGCCUUUCUUUCUCUCAGCCAUUUCAACUUUGCCAGCUUUAACACCAUGGCGCUUACUUCUUUUGCAAUUGUUUCAGACAUUUUGAACUUUGAGGAAUAUUCUUGUGAUCUAUUUACUGUAUAGUAUAUUUUCCUUCUAAAAUAAUUUUAUGCAACAAAGUCCUUUUUACUGUUCAAAAUAGGCCUAGAUGAUUCAAAUGACAUUUUCUAUUGUAGAUCAGUGUGAAAAAAACUACGUUUCCCAUAGCUACUGAUGAACCACAUGUGAACGUUUUAGAGUUCCCGCACCAGCACUAUUCAGUUGACUUCACUUUAGUGUUUGAUUUUCAUAUGUCUGUGCAAUAUAAGUUAUUUGCUACACGUUGUAUUGGUUUGUAAUGUAUGAAGAAAAUGCUAUAUUUUAAAUGAGGUAAGAGGUUUGAGUCGUGAAAGCCUGAUGAAAGUGUUUUUUUUAUGCAUGAAUAUUUCUUCUUUUUUUCCUCUCAUUUCAACCUGUUCAGUAAUAUUGUUGUCAUGACAAUGUUCCAGGAAUUAUUUUAUCCAAACAUACACCGGUGUCACAAUGUUCUUUCUUGGGUAUGCAGUCUGUUGUCAGGAUGGUAAUAGGACUACCGUUAUUCACCAGGUUUCAGUCCAUUUCAGUUCAGGAAGUACACUGAAAUUACAAUUAUCUGCAAUGCUUUUCAAUGAGGAAUUUUUUUGGGGGAUUUACUUUCUGAAUUUAAAUAGAAUUGACCCCAACCCUGUCAUCCACUGGGGCGUACCUGUCCACGAUGAUAACUCUGCAGAUCUGUCAUCCACUGGGGCGUACCUGUCCACGAUGAUAACUCUGCAGAUCUGUCAUCCACUGGGGCGUACCUGUCCACGAUGAUAACUCUGCAGAUCUGUCAUCCACUGGGGCGUACCUGUCCACGAUGAUAACUCUGCAGAUCUGUCAUCCACUGGGGCGUACCUGUCCACGAUGAUAACUCUGCAGAUCUCAGAAGGAAAUGGGAAGAGAGCCUGAACCAGCAGGUGUUAUUGUGCACUUGGAAGUAUUGCAUUUAUACCUGCCUUGCUUUUUAUACUUGAGGUUUCUUCUUCCUAUACCCACCUAGUGCUUCAAAGGCUCUUGCCAUUUUGAGGUGCAUGAAGUCACGCCAAUGUCAUUUUGUUGAAAUAAAGUUGUCAGAUGAC